rnacentral:lncRNA from 1 species
ACAUCUAAAAAUAGGUCUGGGAGAGGUGACUGCCGAGGCGGCCAUCCUGCUUGGCCAGCUGAAGGACCAGGUGCCACCUCCUCUGGGAAGCUUUCCCUGCCCGUCCACAGGGUAUGCCUCCUUGUUCCUCUCCUGCCAUCGGUUUACGUGCCUGUCUCCAUCAACAGACCAGGAGCUCCUGAGGACAGGGACUGAGUCUGCCUGAUUCAUCUCUGCAUUCCUAGCACUUACCUUGGUGCUUAGUGAAAGCUCGAACCUGCCUGGGUUCCCACCUUGUCUCUGCUACCCCCAGCUCUGUGAACUCAGAGUCAUUUUUCUCUCCCCGAGUGGCACCGGGCUCAGCAGACACUCUGGCCAUGAAGGCAUCUUCUGACUCAAGCAGGUCUAGAUGUCUACCCCCAAGGAAUCCCAGAACAGUUGAUCUCUCUUUUUAUUUUUUUAUUUUUUGAGAUGGAGUUUUGCUCUUGUUGCCCAGGCUGGAGUGCAAUGGCGUGAUCUCGG